rnacentral:sRNA from 1 species
UAGAUUCCGAACUCCCGAAGCCUGCCGUCACUCUCUUGAAUGACUGGCCGUCCUCUGUCCUGUCGCCUCUUGUCUGUUUUUUUUAUCUCGACGUUGAAUCACUUUAAUCGCGUGCCAUUUGUUAUUUUUUGUUGCUGCUUGCUGCUUGCUCUCACGUCACAGUGUGACAUCCUGUGUUCCUGGCAGCUUUGCCAUCUACAUCUAGCGAUCACAACCACUUCCCUUGUUUCGCCAGUAGCCUAAUUUUACCUUCUUCCAUAUGUAACAAUCUUUUCUUCUCUCCGGUAUCUGCGAUCUGCGACUAUCCAAGACGGCAGCUUCGAUCAUGACGGUCAUGACAAUGCAUUUCGAAACGGUUAACGAUGUCGUUGACCGGCGAGAAAUUUAUCUUCUUGUGCUGCCCUAUUGUCGGCUAGCAUUAUGCGUUAUGAAGCUGCUUGUCAUGAUGGCUAUUUCUGUAAGGACCGUGGGGUGAACACGUGGUGCUUGCCACUUGAAAAUUGGUAAAUUAGAUGUAAGAUGAAAAGGGAAGGACCGUAGGUAGGACGGGAGAAAGGGAUAAACAGAAUCAUUCUGCAGAUAAUUGUACCAGUGUAAUAUGUGGCAUGUGAAACGUGGAAGACCAU